GCAGUGCUGACGAGUCCCAUACUAGGACGAAACGGCCGUCUAGUGC
rnacentral:hammerhead_ribozyme from 1 species